rnacentral:rRNA from 1 species
GUGCCAGCCGCCGCGGUAAUACGAAGGGGGCUAGCGUUGUUCGGAAUUACUGGGCGUAAAGGGCGCGUAGGCGGUACUUCAAGUCAGGCGUGAAAGCCCCGGGCUCAACCUGGGAACCGCGCUUGAGACUGGAGAACUAGAGUUCGGGAGAGGAUGGUGGAAUUCCCAGUGUAGAGGUGAAAUUCGUAGAUAUUGGGAAGAACACCGAUGGCGAAGGCAGCCAUCUGGACCGACACUGACGCUGAGGCGCGAAAGCGUGGGGAGCAAACAGGAUUAGAAACCCGGGUAGUCC